CAUAACCUUUGCAAAGCAUGAAACUAACACAUGAACAGAUAAAUAUAUGAAAUUAAUUGCAGAAAUAAGAAGAUGGCAGUGAAGAAAUAGUCAUACCUGACACUAGAACGGGGAGGUGAAAUAGAAUCAGCAGCUCUCUUGGUGCCACAGGAAGCAUUAUUAUUAUUAUUUAGAACGGGGAGGUGAAAUAGGAUCAGCAGCUCUCUUGGUGCCACAGGAAGCAUUAUUAUUAUUAUUAAUUUUAGUAGCUGAAGAAGAGGAAGAUGAAGAAAAUG
rnacentral:lncRNA from 1 species